rnacentral:lncRNA from 1 species
GCACGAGGAUAUGGUCGUUAAGCACUGUGACGUCACCAAUGACGUUGGGCAAGGUCAGGAGCGGCCGGCGCCGCCUCAGUGUCGGGCUGACAGCCAGCAGACGUAGUUCCUUAGGCGGUGUCCCGCUUCUUACAUCAUUUGCAGCUACACCGGUCAUCAGGGUCUGGCUCGACAAUGGCCACGAGUCUUCUUGAGAAAUAACUUAAAGUGAACGGAGGACUAGUCAGGCACACAAGGCACGGAACUAGUUCUGACGUGACGUAGCUGAAAGUCUCGAUAGAGGUGGUUGGACGGUGUUGAACACGGCGCCUGACAACGUUGCAGGAAUAUCUGAAAGAAAAGGCAAGUUGUUAAAACGUUCAGUUAAUAUUUAUUUAGCAGGAAACUGUUGGAAAGGAUAUUCUGCAGAAUUAUAGAAAGAGCAUCUGUGGGACAUUAGAAACGACGCAGCACAGAAAAUGGAUGAAGACGGGUGGCUGUAGCAGUAAGAAGGCCGGUGAAGCAUAGACUGCAAAAUUGCGAAGCAAGAUGCAAAAUAAAGGAAAGUUGUAAAUCUGUGUAUUGUGUACUUUGAAAUUGUUCUUAGAACUAUAGAAUCUGUUCCAUCUGUUAUGUUUAAUAUCUGGUGUAUGGUGUUAUGACUAUUGUUCGGCUGGUUUUCUGUAUUAACAAUGUGGUUCCGAUAGAUGUUGUUCGUAUUGGAAUAAAUAUCCCUUAAUUAUAGACGUUAAUGUUUACAGCUGUUUGUGUAUUCUUUAACGGCUGGCUAUGCACAGUUUAUAUAUCAACCAUGCCAUGUUUAUUGUUGUAACAUUGUCUAGGCCCAGUGUAUGUGACAGUGGCUAGAAUUUGAAGGUUUGUUAAUAAAGUGUUCUUAUUGGA